AGAAUAUUGUGACUGCAGGCUAUGAUGUCACAAAAAUAGAUCCUUACAGGAGUACAAAUCUAUUCUUCAAUCUCUCAUUACAGCAGUUUUCACCAGAUGGAUUCACAGCAACACAAACAACCCAAAACUGAAGGAAUUUUAUUCAACAUGGUGAGAGCAAUCCUCAUUCUCACCCUAGUAUCAGGUAUAUUUUGUCAAAUUGUACCUAAAGAAGCCGUCUUGAAUAUUGCAGAGGAGGAGACUGUAAAACUCAGUUGUUCAUAUGAACCAAGCAGUGAAUAUGUUGAACUUCACUGGUACAGAGAACAUCCUAACAAAGCACCUCAGUUUUUAGUGUGGAAAGGUUCUCGGGCAUGGAGUCAGGAUGCGUAUUCUCCACAUGUUCGGUUCCAGUCAACAACUUCCCGAACCUCCACUGAACUCACUAUUACAAAAUCAACUUUGGCAGAUUCAGCUCUUUACUACUGUGCUCUUAGAGUAGGGGCCCAGUGAUGCAAAGUUUCUGAGAGGUUGUACAAAAACAAUAUUAGAUAAUUCCCUUUGUAUUUGUACAUCAAACCACAGCUGGUUACAAAAAAGGAAACCCAUUAUAAGCAUCUGGUAACACCUGCAAAAAUUGAAAAAAAAAAUAUUUAAUUCUGGUGUUCUUUGAUAGACCAGGCUUUUGGUACAGCCAUGUCAAUUGUUAUUUAUUUAUUAUAUUCAAACUGUUAUUAUGUAUAUUUUCUUAUUUCAUC